rnacentral:rRNA from 1 species
ACCCCGGGGAUAACAGGCUUAUCUCCCCCAAGAGUCCACAUCGACGGGGAGGUUUGGCACCUCGAUGUCGGCUCAUCGCAUCCUGGGGCUGUAGUCGGUCCCAAGGGUUGGGCUGUUCGCCCAUUAAAGCGGUACGCGAGCUGGGUUCAGAACGUCGUGAGACAGUUCGGUCCCUAUCCGUCGCGGGCGUAGGAAAUUUGAGAGGAGCUGUCCUUAGUACGAGAGGACCGGGAUGGACGCACCGCUGGUGUACCAGUUGUCCCGCCAGGGGCACAGCUGGGUAGCUAUGUGCGGAAGGGAUAAGCGCUGAAAGCAUCUAAGCGUGAAGCCCCCCUCAAGAUGAGAUUUCCCAUCGCGUCAAGCGAGUAAGAUCCCUUGAAGAUGACAAGGUAGAUAGGUCCGAGGUGGAAGCGUGGCGACACGUGCAGCUGACGGAUACUAAUCGAUCGAGGACUUAAC